AUCGUUCCGUUUGAAUAUCAGCUUCCGUCUAGUUAUUUUACGUCUUUUGCGCUAUUGCCGAAUACGCCGAAUUCAAUAUCUAGUGGAAGAUACGCUGAUGCAUGUGUGUUAGUGCGUAUCGUUUUUGGCCAGUUUGGACGGAUCAAUCCUCUGUGAUCCACCGAAUUGGGCGGCAUUACAGUGUAACUGUAAAAUUCGUGUAAUAAGAAGUAUUGUUUGAGAAAGUUGUUCUUGGAUGGUGCAGAGCUGCAAAAAUAAAAAGCAAGAAAAUCAAAUCAGGACACGUGCACGCUAAUCAGUACAUUAAUUAACUACAAACUGGGUGUACUCCACGUUCGAGGAACUAGUUUCCGUACGGUAAAUGCGGAUUCUUUAUACAGAGUGUGAAAUCAUUUCCGGCGCAGCCAGUUAGCAUGGGAAAACAAUUCCGGCAACUUUCCGUCAAAUCUCCAAUGAGAGAUGACAUAGCUGAUGUGGCGUUUUAGAUUAAAGAAUCGUUUCCUACUCUCUCCAGUCUCUGGGUUGAAGAAAUGGCAACGCAAAGAAGGCGAAUGUAAGGAUAUUAAUACCUACAAAACUAGUAUCGGAGACGAUAUUAAUGCCUGGUUAAAAAUAUUACAUUUAUACCACAUCCAAGACUGGAUGAUCAUUCUAGUAGAAACAUAUGAUGUGAAAGGCCAAUAAGCUAUUACCUAGAACUACUGUUUUGGACAAAAUACGAAGUGGUUUUGCUGCCAAGACUGCUGAUAGAUGCUUUGCUGUAAUUAAUCCAAUCAAGUCUGAAUCGCGUUCUGCUGAAUCAUGGAGAGGCUUGAUUACGCGCAUUCGUCAUUUAAUGUUGACUACAUAUGAUAGAACUCUUUCGCGCUUUGAAGAUAUACGCGAGCAGAGAGAAAGACGAAACAAUCCUAACUGGAAUUUUUGCCAUUAUUUUUUCUUGCAGGAAGAAUUAGUAUUUGAACUAAAUCAUCAUCUAAGACUUCUUUUGGUCGAGUGUAAGGCGUCCUUGUUAGAUCUUAGAAGUUACUUGAAUAAUAAUAAUGAUAAUUUAGAAUAAUGGUCUGUACAUUUAUUAGUAAAGUAUGAUGAGAUAUAUUUAUUCAUCAAUAAAGAAAAAAUCUAACAAAAUACGAGAU